GGUUUCCUUCCGGUCGAUGAGGUAGAUGUACCUCAUCAAUCGGAGGGGUUUCCUUCCGGUUGAUGAGGUACAUGUACCUCGUUGACCGGAAGGAAACC
rnacentral:miRNA from 1 species